rnacentral:rRNA from 1 species
GCCAGCCCGCUCAGAACUCAAAGGAAUUGACGGGGCCCGCACAAGCGGUGGAGUAUGUGGUUUAAUUCGAUGCAACGCGAAGAACCUUACCUGGUCUUGACAUCCCGGAGACCCUUAGGAAACUAGGGGUGCUUCCAUCUGGAAGAAUCUGGAGACAGGUGCUGCAUGGCUGUCGUCAGCUCGUGUCGUGAGAUGUUGGGUUAAGUCCCGCAACGAGCGCAACCCUUGCCUUUAGUUGCCAGCAGUUCGGCUGGGCACUCUAAAGGGACUGCCGGUGUUAAACCGGAGGAAGUGGGGAUGACGUCAAGUCCUCAUGGCCUUUAUGACCAGGGCUACACACGUACUACAAUGGCCGAUACAAAGGGCAGCGACACUGCGAGGUGAAGCCAAUCCCGUAAAAUCGGUCUCAGUCCGGAUUGGAGUCUGCAACUCGACUCCAUGAAGUUGGAAUCGCUAGUAAUCGUGGAUCAGCAUGCCACGGUGAAUACGUUCCCGGGCCUU